rnacentral:tRNA from 1 species
GAGGGUAUAGCUCACCGGUAGAGUACAGUGCUUAGCAUGCACGAGGUCAUGGGUUCAAUCCCCCAUACCUCCA